rnacentral:lncRNA from 1 species
UUAGCCGGUGGAGUGGGUUUCUCUUCCUUCUCUUUCUCCGCCGAGACCUCUGGUUCUGGCGGCGGUGGAACUUCAGAAAGAGCCUCACACGAUUCUUUUUUAUCCUCAGGUUUUGAUUCUUCUUCAUCUUUUUUCUCUUCAGGUUUUGGUUCUUUUUCUUCCUUCUUCUCUUCAGCUUUCGGUUCUUCAGGUUUCUUUUCUUCCUCCUUCGCCAAAGGCGGCGGAGGCGAAGCAGUGAAUUCAUGCUUUUUAAGUGCUUCUUGAACCAACAAUUUGAAUUCAUCCAACGCCUUCUUCUGGGGGUCAAUCAGAUCAUCGACCUUGUUGCUUUCCUCUUUAAAC